CACAGGUCAGAGACUGUCAGAUCAAAAUUUUUUUAAUCGGAGAUUAUGUCGACGGAUCAUAUGCAAAAGUCUUUUUCAAUCUAAACAAUAAGGGUGCGUGAUCUUUAGUCUUAAGUUUGGAGAUGAUCUAAGAUGAUAAGAAAUAACAGUGACUAUCCUCUAUUACUAUUGUGGCUAUUGUAAAAUGGGUAUAAAUGGUCCGGUUCCGCUUAUUUAUUUCCCCGCAAAAACAAAUACAGGGCUGCCGGUUCCUUGCCGGUAUUGUCGCAAAACGUUCUGCAAGUUCACAUUUAAAACCGCGAGUAGCUUUCAAUUUUUUUGCCAUUCGGAGUCUAUUCAGUAUGAAUAUUGCUCAUUUGUGAAGGCUAUAUGGUCACUUAAACUAGAAGGUGUGGAUGGCGUUUAAGGAAUAGAGAAUAGCGGGGAUUGAAUAUUAGAGACAAUGGAACAAAAAUGAAUAAAAUAGAAUAAUGAGGUGUUCAAAUAUAAAGAGAAUAAGUUAACUGGCAAAAAGUAUGAAGAAUAGAGAAAAAUGGCUCACACCAUAAUUUAAAGAGUAUAUAGAGAAACAUUCUUAAGGGUUUCGCGGAACCCAGUGUCUAGCCUACUCAUGCUGUU
rnacentral:lncRNA from 1 species